rnacentral:misc_RNA from 1 species
CUGAGAAUUGUCCUUCGGGAUCAACUCUCCCACCCUCUGUUUACCAUACUCUGUUGCUUCGGCAGGCCCGUCUCCGGACCGCCGGCCCCCUCCCAAGGGGCUGGCCAGCGCCUGUCAGAGGACCUACCAAACUCGUUUUGUUAGUGUAGUCUGAGCUUAAUUUUAAUAAUUA